rnacentral:misc_RNA from 1 species
GAAACCAUAAUUAGCAUAACUAAUUCACAAUACAUAACUAAAUAAAUUUUCAAUUAGAAAACGAUAAAUUAAAGUUUAUUGCGCAUAAACUUGAUGUGAAUCGUCUCUAGGCCUUGACUCAGUUUGCCUUAUCCUUUUCCAGGUCUUUUUCAGUUGAAACACGCAAUUAAUAGUGUUUCAGUAUCUUAUCUCACAAUAAAUCCAAUAAUUAAUUUAUAUAUACUUAAUUCUAGCCCCAAUAUGCUUAAACUAACGUUCUUGGAAAUUU